GUGGGAGCCAGCCUGCUGGCGAUGGCGUCGUGUCAGUCAAUGUCUACUUUUAUGACACACCGUCAUCGCCAGCAGGCUGGCUCCCAC
rnacentral:misc_RNA from 1 species